rnacentral:lncRNA from 1 species
GGAGUGCUAUGCACAGUGAAGUGACAGGAAAAUGUAUCUGGUUGAUUUGUAAACUGUGCUUCCUAAUCUGAGCUAAAACCUUUUAUCAGGGGCAGGUACCUCUGAAGGAUGACACUCUGCAAUAAGCUGACCUAACUCCUAGUUUCAGGAAGCACAGGAGGAAGAAUCAAGGAUCUAUAGUAAGAAAUUCAAGGAAUAAGAAAAUACACCUUGUACUGUGGUAACUGCUGGUAUGUUCAGUUGUUGCUUUGACUCCUGUCAAAGUAGUACUGAAAAUGUAUUUGAGAGGUAUUUUGGAC